UACGCUCCGCAAGCUGGCUCUCUUCAGGUCGGCGACAACCGCAUAGUUCGGAUUCCAGGGGAAGCCGGUCGAAAUCCGGCGCUGACCCGCAACCGUAGGCGGUGGCCGGCAGGCCACCGCGAGUCGGAACACCUGGAUUCGUACGAGUUAGAGG
rnacentral:ncRNA from 2 species